rnacentral:rRNA from 1 species
UCCGAUCUGGGGAACCCGGAGAACUGAAACAUCUAAGUACCCGGAGGAAGAGAAAGAAAUUCGAUUCCGUAAGUAGCGGCGAGCGAACGCGGAACAGGCCAAACCAGUGAAGUUUUCUUCGCUGGGGUUGCGGACAUAUCAUAACGAAGAGGUAUCGUAGAAGAAGAGAGUUGGAAAGCUCCGCCAUAGAUGGUAACAGCCCAGUAUUUUAAACGAGAAGACUUUAGAUAUGAUCCAGAGUACCACGGGACACGUGAAACCCUGUGGGAAGCAGGAGGGACCAUCCUCCAAGCCUAAAUACUACCUAGUGACCGAUAGCGUAUAGUACCGUGAGGGAAAGGUGAAAAGAACCCCGGGAGGGGAGUGAAAGAGAACCUGAAACCCUGCACUUACAAGCUGUAGGAGCACAUUAUUUGUGUGACUGCGUACUUUUUGUAGAACGGGCCAACGAGUUACGUUGUGUAGCAAGGUUAAGCACUUAAGGUGUGGAGCCGUAGCGAAAGCGAGUCUUAAAUGGGCGUCCAGUUACCCGACGUAGACCCGAAACCAGGCGACCUAUCCAUGAGCAGGUUGAAGCGAAAGUAAAAUUUCGUGGAGGACCGAACCCACGUACGUUGAAAAGUGCGGGGAUGACUUGUGGAUAGCGGUGAAAUUCCAAUCGAGCCUGGAGAUAGCUGGUUCUCCCCGAAAUAGCUUUAGGGCUAGCCUCAAGCUUAGAGAAACGGAGGUAGAGCACUGAAUGUCCUAGGGGGUAUUGCACUUACCGAAGACUAUCAAACUCCGAAUGCCGUAUUCUUUUGCUUGGGAGUCAGACUAUGGGUGAUAAGAUUCAUAGUCAAGAGGGCAACAGCCCAGAUCGUCAGCUAAGGUCCCUAAAUGUAAGUUAAGUGGUAAAGGAUGUGGAAUUGCACAGACAACCAGGAUGUUGGCUUAGAAGCAGCCACUCAUUUAAAGAGUGCGUAAUAGCUCACUGGUCGAGUGAUUCUGCGCCGAAAAUUUCCGGGGCUAAAACUUACUACCGAAGCUACGGCAUCAUUAUGAUGGGUAGGGGAGCUUUCUAUGUGGCUUGAAGCAUGACCGUAAGGACAUGUGGACUGCAUAGAAGUGAGAAUGUUGGCAUGAGUAGCGAGAUGUGGGUGAGAAUCCCACAGGCCGUAAACCCAAGGUUUCCAGGGGAAGGUUCGUCCGCCCUGGGUUAGUCAGGACCUAAGCCGAGGCCGAAAGGCGUAGGUGAUGGACAACAGGUUGAUAUUCCUGUACCACCAAUAACCGUUUGAGAAAUGGGAUGACACAGUAGGAUAAGCUAACCGCACUGUUGGUUAUGUGCGGGCAAGUAUUGAGGCAGUUCCGAUAGGCAAAUCCGUCGGAAUAAUGCUGGGGUACGAUGCGGAGCGAAAUUUAGUAGCGAAGUAGCUGAUUUCACACUGUCGAGAAAAGUCUCUAUCGAGGUUAAAGGUGCCUGUACCGCAAACCGACACAGGUGGGUGAGGAGAGUAUCCUAAGGCCAGCGAGAGAACUGUUGUUAAGGAACUCGGCAAAAUGACCCCGUAACUUAGGGAGAAGGGGUGCCUUCGAAAGAAGGCCGCAGAGAAUAGGCCCAAGCGACUGUUUACCAAAAACAUAGGUUUCUGCUAAGUCGCAAGACGAUGUAUAGGAGCUGACGCCUGCCCGGUGCUGGAAGGUUAAGGGGAUCUGUUAGAGCAAUCGAAGCAGUGAACUUAAGCCCCAGUAAACGGCGGCCGUAACUAUAACGGUCCUAAGGUAGCGAAAUUCCUUGUCGGGUAAGUUCCGACCCGCACGAAAGGCGUAACGAUUUGGGCACUGUCUCAACAACAGACUCGGUGAAAUUGUAAUACCGGUGAAGAUGCCGGUUACCUGCGACAGGACGGAAAGACCCCAUGGAGCUUUACUGUAGCUUGACAUUGGGUCUCGGUACUACAUGUACAGGAUAGGUGGGAGACUGAGAAAUCUGGGCGUCAGUUUAGAUGGAGUCAUCCUUGGGAUACCACCCUUGUAGUAUUGGGACUCUAACCAUAGGCCAUGAAUCUGGUCUUGGGACACUGUCUGGUGGGCAGUUUGACUGGGGCGGUCGCCUCCCAAAAAGUAACGGAGGCGCUCAAAGGUUCCCUCAGUA